UACGUAGGGUGCGAGCGUUGUCCGGAAUUAUUGGGCGUAAAGAGCUCGUAGGCGGUCUGUCGCGUCUGCUGUGAAAUCCCGAGGCUCAACCUCGGGCUUGCAGUGGGUACGGGCAGGCUAGAGUGCGGUAGGGGAGACUGGAAUUCCUGGUGUAGCGGUGGAAUGCGCAGAUAUCAGGAGGAACACCGAUGGCGAAGGCAGGUCACUGGGCCGCAACUGACGCUGAGGAGCGAAAGCAUGGGGAGCGAACAGG
rnacentral:rRNA from 1 species